GCCUGUCACGUGUUCCUGUGACCAUGGGGCUAAGCGGCCAUAAGCGGCCACUCCAAAACUGUGAGCUUCCUCCCUUUAAGCCGUCCAAGUUCCAUAUUAGUCCCAGCAGCUGUAAAAGCAACUAAUCUACUAUUGGUGUGGACGACAGAACAGGAAGAUGAUGGUGGUGUGGUGGUGAUGCUGUGCUAUCAGCUGGGAAGGCUUGGGUAGGGAUGGUCUGUGCUGCUGGCAUAUAGCACGCGUCUACAUGGACGUGGCAAGAAGCAGAGUGACCAGUGAAUGCAGGUGCAGCAGCAGCAGCAGCAGCAGCAGCAGCAGCAGCAGGAGCAGCAGCACUUCCUGCUCCGAGCCCCCAUCCAGGAGCAAAUCUCAAACACCACAGAGAACCCGCACACCCUGCCUAGGACCUAACCAACGUGCACACAGCCUCGGUGGCUGCUUUGGCCUUAUUGGCUGUCAAAGGGCUUCUGUCUUCCAUGGUGUGAUUUUCAGACAGGAGGAAUUCCUUCUUAGACAGUUUAAGGAGCCCGGAUCUCAGAAAAGGCUUCUAAUAGGAAACAGCUCAACCCUUCAGAAGAUCAUUGCUUCUCUAUAAACCUAGUUGUAUCACAUAGGUCUCAUCAUUAAUGCGAUGUUUACUUUGUAUCCGGGAGACGGCUGUAGGUUACAAGAAUGCAUUACAAAGCGACAGUAGUGUGACAAACUAGAGAAGGCUGUGGGUUCUGCAGCUAGGCUGUCUGUACAAUCCUGGCUCUUCCUUCUCUGCCUCCUCUUAGCUCUGUCUUCUUCCUUCCAGCUGUAGGACCGACAUAGCCUUUCUGAAACCAAAGCUCUCCCCCAUCAGGGAUAAACGUGCCUCACAGGGUUACUGUGAAUAUUUAAACAUUAAGGAUUUACUGUGCUUGGUUUGUCUUGGCAUGAUGCAAACGAUCACAAUAAUCACUUUUAUUAUUAUUUUUUCCCAUGGGCAGUAGUCAGCCAUUGGCCUAAUAGCCUGCUGGAGAAAUGACACCAUUAAUGCCUUAGCAGGGCUCAAAGCAGAGGCCAGCGGGAGCCACAAGAGCCUGCUAAGCAGGACCUGUACCGUACGGAACCCCAUGCACAGACUUCACUGCCCAGAAACCUGUCACCCAGUCUUAAAGCGCCCUGCCAUCCUGGGGGACUUUGACAUCCCUACCAUAUGAGUGGUUGCCACAGGAACCACUGUGCCCAGGGUUUCCUUUCGCUGGCAAGGGUGGAGACAAUCAAACCUGGCUUCGGGGCUGGAGAGAUGGCUCAGCGGGUUAAGAGCACCGACUGCUCUUCCAAAGGUCAUGAGUUCAAAUCCCAGCACCCACAUGGUGGCUCACAACCAUCCGUAAAGAGAUCUGACGUCCUCUUCUGGUGUCUGAAGACAGCUACAGUGUACUUACAUAUGAUAAAUAAAUAAAUAUCUUAAAAAAAAAAGA